UACGUAGGGCGCAAGCGUUAUCCGGAAUUAUUGGGCGUAAAGAGCUCGUAGGCGGUCUGUCGCGUCGGCUGUGAAAACUCGGGGCUCAACCCCGAGCCUGCAGUCGAUACGGGCAGACUAGAGUGCUGUAGGGGAGACUGGAAUUCCUGGUGUAGCGGUGAAAUGCGCAGAUAUCAGGAGGAACACCGGUGGCGAAGGCGGGUCUCUGGGCAGUAACUGACGCUGAGGAGCGAAAGCGUGGGGAGCAAACAGG
rnacentral:rRNA from 1 species